rnacentral:rRNA from 1 species
AUUGAACGCUGGCGGAAUGCUUUACACAUGCAAGUCGAACGGUAGAGGGGGCAACCCCUCGAGAGUGGCGAACGGGUGAGUAAUAUAUCGGAACGUGCCCAGUCGUGGGGGAUAACGUAGCGAAAGUUACGCUAAUACCGCAUACGAUCUAAGGAUGAAAGCGGGGGAUCGCAAGACCUCGCGCGAUUGGAGCGGCCGAUAUCAGAUUAGGUAGUUGGUGGGGUAAAGGGUCACCAAGCCAACGAUCUGUAGCUGGUCUUAGAGGACGACCAGGCACACUGGAACUGAGACACGGGCCAGACUCCUACGGGAGGCAGCAGUGAGGAAUUUUGGACAAUGGACGCAAGUCUGAUCCAGCCAUUCCGCGUGCAGGAUGAAGGCCCUCGGGUUGUAAACUGCUUUUGGACGGAACAAAAAGGUCUCUCUUAAUACGGGGGACUCAUGACGGUACCGUAAGAAUAAGCACCGGCUAACUACGUGCCAGCAGCCGCCGUAACAC